UUCACUUCUCCUGGAAUUUUGCGAUUAAACAGUACACUUUUUGGAUUCAAAGGACUUCUUUGGAUCGCAUAGAGACAGCCGUACAAUUUAUUACAUAAUCGCAUAAUCUAUGCAUUUCGUUGUAUGAAACCAUCCUACCAAAGAAUAUCCAGAUCUGAUUUUAGCUGCAUUGAGCGAAGAAAAUUAAAGAAAUUUUUUCACUUUCUUUGUAUGAUAUUUCUGAUUCGAUAAAUCACGAGAUUCCAGAUGGGAUUCAUGACUGCCUUUGAAUACAAUUAACACGUACUCUUAAUAAGACAAUGUUUUAUGUUUUCAUUUAGCGUCAUCGUAAUUUCAUACAUUUAAAUUUAUAGCUAUAGUUUAAAAUUCCAUAUUUAGGUAUACAACUUGUGAAAUGAAUGUGAAAAGCCAGUUUAGGGAGAUUUUAUGCAUCAGUAAUAAUAAUAGUGAUUGGUGAUUAUAAGACAGCGAAAGCAACAUUUAAUAAAAAUAACAGUUCAAAAA